ACGUGAGGAGCUGUUUUCAUGUGGUUUUAUCCCAAGGUUUGUUUAAAAUUUUGUUCUUUGAAGAAAAGCAAUUGUCUUCUUCCACCGUAUCUUGUUUCUCUGAUCAAUAAUCUUCUUACUCUGCUGUUUGUUUUCUUUCUUGCCUCAAUUUCAAUCCACUUCGGAUCCAUUGGUACCUGAAUCAGCCCACAAUUUGUUUAGAACUUGAAUUAUAAAAUACCCAAGAUAUAGUGUCGUUCCCAGAAUCGGAAACCACUUUUAAUCUUCUUCAAGCUCCAUCGAUGAUCAUCACCAUCAAUGGAAGACACCACUAGUAAUUGAGAAAUCUUAUGUCCAAUUGGAACAACAAGUUGUUCAUUACAUGGAGAAAGCCAUUGAACAGGUGCUAAAGUUCCAUAAGCUAUAAGAAGUUUCAAUGCAAGAAGUAAUCCCUCCUCCAAAAUAGUGACGAAGAAUGACCACUCCCAACAAGGACCCAAUGGAGUUGACAAAAGAACAACUUGAAAUCACAGUGAAAGCAGGAUGCAGUCUUGGGCUAAAAUGGUUGAAAAUACUCCUAGAUGCAAGCUCAAUAAUGCGAUGUAUAUACUCUUUUGCAUAGAUUUCUAGAUGGCAUCCUGAUUUAUAAACCUGAGGAGAUGGAACAGAAAGUUGUGGGUUAUUCUUCAUUUCUUUUUAUGUCUUUUAUAUUCUUUUAUACUACAUAUAAUACUGAUCACAUUAAAAGAUAAAAAUAAUUAGUUUUUUUUUUUU